UGCUCAAAUAGGCUAUCACACGUCUCCAUUGGUGAUGUUCAAACGUUACUUUUUGAUUAUUAUGUGUGACUGUGUGCAGUGACUACCGCAGUUUCAGCCUAUGGUUCCGUUUCGCCAGCCGGUGCAUGAUGCACAGCUCGUGGCUAUCACGCUAGUGAACACGAAUCGGGAUGGGGGAAAAACAUAGAUGAGAAGCUUUCCCCGGGAUUAAAACCCCGUCCUCUUGAAAGGUUCUAUAUCGUCGGUCGUCGUUAGUCGGCGUCGGUUUCCUUUCUGUACAGUGCUCUCUUACACGCGCGAAAAAUCACACAAAGCACAACUACACGUAAAAUGGUGUGCUUGAAAUGUUUUAUUGGGUUUUAAUUCAGGUCUUUUAACACGUGGAAGUCAGAUGGGAGACCUGAAAACAACAACGGACAAAUGUGUUACAGAGGGUGGCAAGAAGUCCAGAUGAAAUGGACUUGAAUGAAGCAAUACAGUGACUUGCACUGUUGCAGGUGUCCACCAGAUGCUGCAAGCAGACAGAGCCUUUGCGGAAAAACCACAUGAUUUCACAUGUGGAAAAUCAUCUGAUUUCACGUGACAUAUCCACAUGUUUUGCACAUGAGAAAUCAUGCGUUUUUGGAACACAUGACAUGAUGAUAUUUCACAUGUGGAUUUUCACAGAAUCCGGUGAGGCACAGCAAGAGAUGCCGAUCCAGCGGGGGAAAAAGAGAGGGAGAGAGAAGUUGCUCAGAAUUUCACCCCCGGAUUCGGAACAUUUCGGAAUCGCCUCUACUGCAGAAUAUUUGCUGCAUGACUGACUCAGACCUUGACACGGGACUUUUGGCCAAUCAGAGAACCCCAUGGUCAGACAAACGGACAGCCCUAGCAGACCUGAGCCCUAGGACCAUGCCUCAGGACUACCUGGCAUGAUGACUCCU